AACGAACGCUGGCGGCAGGCCUAACACAUGCAAGUCGAACGCCCCGCCAGGGGAGUGGCCGACGGGUGAGUAACACGUGGGAACCUUCCCUAUAGUACGGAAUAGCCCAGGGAAACUUGGAGUAAUACCGUAUACGCCCGCAAGGGGAAAGAAUUUCGCUAUAGGAUGGGCCCGCGUAGGAUUAGCUAGUUGGUGAGGUAAUGGCUCGCCAAGGCGACGAUCCUUAGCUGGUUUGAGAGAACGACCAGCCACACUGGGACUGAGACACGGCCCAGACUCCUCCGGGAGGCAGCAGUGGGGAAUAUUGGACAAUGGGCGCAAGCCUGAUCCAGCCAUGCCGCGUGAGUGAUGAAGGCCUUAGGGUUGUAAAGCUCUUUUGGCGGGGACGAUAAUGACGGUACCCGCAGAAUAAGUCCCGGCUAACUUCGUG
rnacentral:rRNA from 1 species